rnacentral:tRNA from 1 species
GAGAAAGAAUGUAAGAACUGCUAACUCAUACAUCCUCACUUAAAAGUGCGGCUUUUUCA